UAGGUUCCAUGGCAAGCACAACAACACGAAGUGGGAUGCCUAGUAAGAUUGGGUCACUUUCUCGGGUUGUAGUGAAGGUGGGAUGCCUAGUAAGAUUGGGUCACUUUCUCGGGUUAUAGUGAAGAGGGAGUAACGGUACUGGUGAGGCGCGGAGGGUCUCAUUGCGAAGUCCACAACGUCUAGAGAAGCAAUGCGGUCACCUCCUUAUAUGGGGCUCUUGCUAUUAUGCGCCGUCCCCGUCUUAGCCAGACCACCACCACCGUCCGCUGUUGAGGACAUGUUGCCUAUCUCUCUUCUUGUCUUCUCCAAUAUGCUCCUCCAUCUCCCGUGGUUUGUGCUUUGGGGUUGAUUC
rnacentral:lncRNA from 1 species